rnacentral:rRNA from 1 species
AGUUGCGAAGGCGGCUCUCUGGACUGUAACUGACGCUGAGGCACGAAAGCGUGGGGAGCAAACAGGAUUAGAUACCCUGGUAGUCCACGCUGUAAACGAUGAGUACUAGGUGUCGGGGGUUACCCCCUUCGGUGCCGCAGCUAACGCAUUAAGUACUCCGCCUGGGAAGUACGCUCGCAAGAGGGAAACUCAAAGGAAUUGACGGGGACCCGCACAAGUAGCGGAGCAUGUGGUUUAAUUCGAAGCAACGCGAAGACCCUUACCUAAGCUUGACAUCCCAAUGACAUCUCCUUAAUCGGAGAGUUCCCUUCGGGGACAUUGGUGACAGGUGGUGCAUGGUUGUCGUCAGCUCGUGUCGUGAGAUGUUGGGUUAAGUCCCGCAACGAGCGCAACCCUUGUCUUUAGUUGCCAUCAUUAAGUUGGGCACUCUAGAGAGACUGCCAGGGAUAACCUGGAGGAAGGUGGGGAUGACGUCAAAUCAUCAUGCCCCUUAUGCUUAGGGCUACACACGUGCUACAAUGGGUAGUACAGAGGGUUGCCAAGCCGUAAGGUGGAGCUAAUCCCUUAAAGCUACUCUCAGUUCGGAUUGUAGGCUGAAACUCGCCUACAUGAAGCUGGAGUUACUAGUAAUCGCAGAUCAGAAUGCUGCGGUGAAUGCGUUCCCGGGUCUUGUACACAC